rnacentral:tRNA from 1 species
GCGAAAUGGCGUUGACUGGGGCCUUCCAAGCCCUAAACCCGGGUUCAAAUCCCGGUUGGCGCA